rnacentral:rRNA from 1 species
AGAGUUUGAUCACGGCUCAGGACGAACGCUGGCGGCGUGCCUAAUACAUGCAAGUAGAACGCUGAAGAGAGGAGCUUGCUCUUCUUGGAUGAGUUGCGAACGGGUGAGUAACGCGUAGGUAACCUGCCUUGUAGCGGGGGAUAACUAUUGGAAACGAUAGCUAAUACCGCAUAACAAUGGAUGACACAUGUCAUUUAUUUGAAAGGGGCAAUUGCUCCACUACAAGAUGGACCUGCGUUGUAUUAGCUAGUAGGUGAGGUAAUGGCUCACCUAGGCGACGAUACAUAGCCGACCUGAGAGGGUGAUCGGCCACACUGGGACUGAGACACGGCCCAGACUCCUACGGGAGGCAGCAGUAGGGAAUCUUCGGCAAUGGGGGCAACCCUGACCGAGCAACGCCGCGUGAGUGAAGAAGGUUUUCGGAUCGUAAAGCUCUGUUGUAAGUCAAGAACGGGUGUGAGAGUGGAAAGUUCACACUGUGACGGUAGCUUACCAGAAAGGGACGGCUAACUACGUGCCAGCAGCCGCGGUAAUACGUAGGUCCCGAGCGUUGUCCGGAUUUAUUGGGCGUAAAGCGAGCGCAGGCGGUUUGAUAAGUCUGAAGUUAAAGGCAGUGGCUCAACCAUAGUUCGCUUUGGAAACUGUCAAACUUGAGUGCAGAAGGGGAGAGUGGAAUUCCAUGUGUAGCGGUGAAAUGCGUAGAUAUAUGGAGGAACACCGGUGGCGAAAGCGGCUCUCUGGUCUGUAACUGACGCUGAGGCUCGAAAGCGUGGGGAGCGAACAGGAUUAGAUACCCUGGUAGUCCACGCCGUAAACGAUGAGUGCUAGGUGUUGGAUCCUUUCCGGGAUUCAGUGCCGCAGCUAACGCAUUAAGCACUCCGCCUGGGGAGUACGACCGCAAGGUUGAAACUCAAAGGAAUUGACGGGGGCCCGCACAAGCGGUGGAGCAUGUGGUUUAAUUCGAAGCAACGCGAAGAACCUUACCAGGUCUUGACAUCCCGAUGCUAUUUCUAGAGAUAGAAAGUUACUUCGGUACAUCGGUGACAGGUGGUGCAUGGUUGUCGUCAGCUCGUGUCGUGAGAUGUUGGGUUAAGUCCCGCAACGAGCGCAACCCUUAUUGUUAGUUGCCAUCAUUCAGUUGGGCACUCUAGCGAGACUGCCGGUAAUAAACCGGAGGAAGGUGGGGAUGACGUCAAAUCAUCAUGCCCCUUAUGACCUGGGCUACACACGUGCUACAAUGGUUGGUACAACGAGUUGCGAGUCGGUGACGGCGAGCUAAUCUCUUAAAGCCAAUCUCAGUUCGGAUUGUAGGCUGCAACUCGCCUACAUGAAGUCGGAAUCGCUAGUAAUCGCGGAUCAGCACGCCGCGGUGAAUACGUUCCCGGGCCUUGUACACACCGCCCGUCACACCACGAGAGUUUGUAACACCCGAAGUCGGUGAGGUAACCUUUUGGAGCCAGCCGCCUAAGGUGGGACAGAUGAUUGGGGUGAAGUCGUAACAAGGUA